UGAGCCGUCCAGCAUGCACUCCUCCAACAAUAACAGCAGUGACAACGGGUGCUCCUUAGCCACCAUUUCCUCCUUCUGCAGCAGUUCAGUCCAGCAACAGCAGCGACUACUGUCUUUCUUCACAGAAUCGUAACCUAGUUGCAACAUUCAACGGCACUCCGUCAGCGCGGCAUCUCAGCAACAGCAGCGCAGCAGACCAUUAGAGAGAGAGAAACGAACAAAACAAAA